ACUCCUACGGGAGGCAGCAGUGGGGAAUAUUGCACAAUGGGCGGAAGCCUGAUGCAGCGACGCCGCGUGAGGGAUGACGGCCUUCGGGUUGUAAACCUCUUUCAGCAGGGAAGAAGCGCAAGUGACGGUACCUGCAGAAGAAGCACCGGCUAACUACGUGCCAGCAGCCGCGGUAAUACGUAGGGUGCGAGCGUUGUCCGGAAUUAUUGGGCGUAAAGAGCUUGUAGGUGGUUUGUCGCGUCUGCUGUGAAAAUCCGGGGCUCAACCCCGGACUUGCAGUGGGUACGGGCAGGCUAGAGUGUGGUAGGGGAGACUGGAAUUCCUGGUGUAGCGGUGAAAUGCGCAGAUAUCAGGAGGAACACCGAUGGCGAAGGCAGGUCUCUGGGCCACUACUGACGCUGAGAAGCGAAAGCAUGGGGAGCGAACAGGAUUAGAUACCCUGGUAG
rnacentral:rRNA from 1 species